rnacentral:rRNA from 1 species
UCCUACGGGGGGCAGCAGUGGGGGAUAUUGCACAAUGGGGGAAACUCUUAUUCAGCUACUCCUCUUUUUUUAAUACUUUCUUCUUUAUUGUAAACCACUGUCCCCAGGGACGAAAAUGACGGUACCUGGGGAGGAAGCUCCGGCUAACUACGUGCCAGCAGCCGCGGUAAUACGUAGGGAGCAAGCGUUGUCCGGAAUUACUGGGUGUAAAGGGAGCGUAGGCGGGGAUGCAAGGUGGGUGUCAAAACUACCGGCUCAACC